rnacentral:rRNA from 1 species
AUUGAACGCUGGCGGCAUGCUUUACACAUGCAAGUCGAACGGUAACAGGGUGCUUGCACCGCUGACGAGUGGCGAACGGGUGAGUAAUGCGUCGGAACGUGCCGAGUAGUGGGGGAUAACGCAGCGAAAGUUGUGCUAAUACCGCAUACGUACUGAGGUAGAAAGUGGGGGACCUUCGGGCCUCACGCUAUUCGAGCGGCCGACGUCUGAUUAGCUAGUAGGUGAGGUAAAGGCUCACCUAGGCGACGAUAAGUAGCGGGUCUGAGAGGAUGAUCCGCCACACUGGGACUGAGACACGGCCCAGACUCCUACGGGAGGCAGCAGUGGGGAACUUUGGACAAUGGGCGAAAGCCUGAUCCAGCCAUGCCGCGUGUCUGAAGAAGGCCUUCGGGUUGUAAAGGACUUUUGUCGGGGAGGAAAUCCCCAGCGCUAAUACCGCUGGGGGAUGACAGUACCUGAAGAAUAAGCACCGGCUAACUACGUGCCAGCCGCCGCCGUAAUAC